rnacentral:lncRNA from 1 species
AACAAUCUUGUUUAUUUUGUUUGCAGCGAUGAGUAUCCUCUCUUUGUACCAUCCCAUGAUUACUUCUCAGUUGAAGGGAAAAGUUCCUGGACAGGUAGAGACACAACCAAUUUUGGUGUCACUUCACUGAAAUCAGAUGGAAGUGUAGAAGAAGAUUACCAUGACCUCGACGUGGUCAACCUCUCCUCUGCAUCUCCACAUUCUGCCGAAACGUUCAGAAAUGUGCAGAGAGGGAUUGCGCAUCUCAAGCAAAGCGUGGCUCACUUAACUGCGUAUGGAUACAGUUCCCUGUCUAUGGAAGUUCCUUCUGGAAUUCUGUAUACUCAUGUGUUAUUAAGUACGUUUUAUGGGAUAGUUUUACAAAAUCUAACUAUGCUCAGGUGACGGUAGAGGGCCAUAACAAGUAUGGGAGUAGUGGACAGUAUGAUCAGAUCUGCAAUGCUGUCCUACCACAAGGUCUCAACCCACUCUCUGUUCCGCCAAAAGAGCUGGCAGCCUCUUUAGGGUAACACAACACACGACCUUGUAUUUUUUUAAAUGUCAAUUUGUUGUACGAAAUUGUUUAAGAAAGAUGGAGGUUCAUCCCCUCAGUGCAUCUUUACACUCCUGCAGGCCAUUGUAGUCCAUACUAUCUUUAAUAUUUCAUUCUGUAGUUUAAUGAAUUAACACAUUCCCAUGGUUGGUGGUUGGAUCAGGUACAUGGUGCAGCUUCUGAAUCUUGUUGUCCAUAAGCUCGCAGUGCCUGCACUCCAUAACUUGGGUUUUGGGGUAUGAUGCCAACACAUCCUUAACUCGAUUUUAUUCUAAACAGUUGCCUUAGUCUUGGAAGAUUACACACACUUGCACUCACACUCACUAAUCCAGUGUUUUAUAUAUUAUUUUUUUUUUGUCUCAGGGUUCUUGUUCAAGAAUAUGGCAACGAGAUUCAUAUUGGAAAUCUCACCCGUCUUCUCCAAGGUGAACCAUAUUUUACAUUAAACGGAUUGUUUGUUUCUCUUUUCUCCAUUACAUUUGGAGAUGUAAACAAUCUUGUUUAUUUUGUUUGCAGCGAUGAGUAUCCUCUCUUUGUACCAUCCCAUGAUUACUUCUCAGUUGAAGGGAAAAGUUCCUGGACAGGUAGAGACACAACCAAUUUUGGUGUCACUUCACUGAAAUCAGAUGGAAGUGUAGAAGAAGAUUACCAUGACCUCGACGUGGUCAACCUCUCCUCUGCAUCUCCACAUUCUGCCGAAACGUUCAGAAAUGUGCAGAGAGGGAUUGCGCAUCUCAAGCAAAGCGUGGCUCACUUAACUGCGUAUGGAUACAGUUCCCUGUCUAUGGAAGUUCCUUCUGGAGCCUCG